rnacentral:rRNA from 1 species
UGAGCUUGAUCCCUGGCUCAGGACGAACGCUGGCGGCAUGCCUAAUACAUGCAAGUCGAGCGGAGUUUUGUUGAAAGCUUGCUUUCAACAGGAUUUAGCGGCGGACGGGUGAGUAACACGUAGGCAACCUGCCCCAUAGCCUGGGAUAACUACCGGAAACGGUAGCUAAUACCGGAUAAUUCCUUUCCCCACCUGGGAAGAGGAUGAAAGACGGAGUAAUCUGUCGCUGAGGGAUGGGCCUGCGGCGCAUUAGCUAGUUGGUGGGGUAACGGCUCACCAAGGCGACGAUGCGUAGCCGACCUGAGAGGGUGAACGGCCACACUGGGACUGAGACACGGCCCAGACUCCUACGGGAGGCAGCAGUAGGGAAUCUUCCGCAAUGGGCGCAAGCCUGACGGAGCAAUGCCGCGUGAGUGAUGAAGGUUUUCGGAUCGUAAAGCUCUGUUGCCAGGGAAGAACGUCUUAUAGAGUAACUGCUAUAAGAGUGACGGUACCUGAGAAGAAAGCCCCGGCUA